rnacentral:rRNA from 1 species
UCCGUAGGUGGAUAAUUAAGUCAGAGGUGAAAUCUUGCAGCUCAACUGUAAAAUUGCCUUUGAAACUGGUUAUCUUGAGUUAUUAUGAAGUAGUUAGAAUAUGUAGUGUAGCGGUGAAAUGCAUAGAUAUUACAUAGAAUACCAAUUGCGAAGGCAGAUUACUAAUAAUCAACUGACACUGAUGGACGAAAGCGUGGGUAGCGAACAGGAUUAGAUACCCUGGUAGUCCACGCCGUAAACGAUGGUUACUAGCUGUUUGGACUUCGGUCUGAGUGGCUAAGCGAAAGUGAUAAGUAACCCACCUGGGGAGUACGUUCGCAAGAAUGAAGCUCAUAGGAAUUGACGGGGGCCCGCACAAGCGGUGGAGCAUGUGGUUUAAUUCGAUGA